rnacentral:rRNA from 1 species
AUUGAACGCUGGCGGCAGGCCUAACACAUGCAAGUCGAGCGGAUGAAGGGAGCUUGCUCCUGGAUUCAGCGGCGGACGGGUGAGUAAUGCCUAGGAAUCUGCCUGUUAGUGGGGGAUUACGUCCUGAAACGGGCGCUAAUACCUCAUACGUCCUGAGGGAGAAAUUGGGGGAUCUUCGGACCUCACGCUAUCAGAUGAGCCUAGGUCGGAUUAGCUAGUUGGUGGGGUAAAGGCCUACCAAGGCGACGAUCCGUAACUGGUCUGAGAGGAUGAUCAGUCACACUGGAACUGAGACAAGGUCCAGACUCCUAAGGGAGGCAGCAGUGGGGAAUAUUGGACAAUGGGCGAAAGCCUGAUCCAGCCAUGCCGCGUGUGUGAAGAAGGUCUUCGGAUUGUAAAGAACUUUAAGUGGGGAGGAAGGGCAGUAAGUUAAUAACUUGCUGUUUUGACGUUACCAACAGAAUAAGCACCGGCUAACUUCGUG